AGAGAAAUGCAAAUGCUGUCGCCUCCAUAAAGACUCUGGGACUUAUUACUUUUGCAGUGCAGUGCACGAAUUUUGCCAUCCUCAAGACCUGGAAGAGACAGAAGUAGAAAAUUAGUUAAGAUUUGAGAAGCUCCACUUUGACUUACCAGCGAUGAUGGCGCCUGAGCUUGUACACAUAGACAAUGCUGUCGCUCUGCCCCACAGCCAACUUGGUUGAAUCCGGACUAAAAGCUAAUCCUCUGAUGACAUAGGAGUUCUUGCCAUUCGCUGCAUUCGCUGGCUUCGUGCUAAACUUAUCCCUGCGCUCCCCUGCAUCAUCGUAGAGUAGAAUGUGACGAUCUGCGGUGGCAAUUGCCAAUUUCUGCUGAUUAGGGGACCAGGCAAGUCCUGCGAUUCGCUGAAUUUGCUCCUGCAUUGAAAUUCCCAAUGAAUCGCGACGAUCUAUUUGCUUAAACGACUUUAAAUCUCACCUGACCCUCGAGCAAUGUGCGCAAAUAUUUCAAUUGCAUUGUGGAUACGCUAAAAGUUCUACGCUUGUUAUGGCCAACAGUUGUUGUGGCAACCAGCAACCAACAACCAGCAACGCGGCAACGUGCGUAGUUGCAACCCCC